GACGAACGCUGGCGGCGUGCUUAACACAUGCAAGUCGAGCGGAGCGGCGAACGGGUGAGUAACGCGUGAGUAACUGCCCCCCUCUCUGGGAUAACAGUUGGAAACGGCUGCUAAUACCGGAAAGUGGGGGAUGACUCGCGUCCUAUCAGCUUGUUGGUGGGGUAGUGGCCUACCAAGGCGAGGACGGGUAGCCGGCCUGAGAGGGCGACCGGCCACCUUGUGCUGAGGUACGGCCCAAACUCCUACUGGAGGCCGCAGUGGGGAAUAUUGCGCCAUGGGGGAGAGCCUGAUGCAGCAACGCGCGUGCGGGAUGACGGCCUUCGGGUUGUAGACCGCUUUCAGCCAUGACGCGGUGGUGGCAGAAGAAGCACCGGCUAACUACGUGCCAGCAGCCGCGGUAAUUC
rnacentral:rRNA from 1 species